rnacentral:tRNA from 1 species
GGAGAGAUGGCCGAGCGGUUCAAGGCGUAGCAUUGGAACCGCUAUGUAGACUUUUGUUUACCGAGGGUUCGAAUCCCUCUCUUUCCG